rnacentral:rRNA from 1 species
UUAAGUUAUUAAGGGCGCACGGUGGAUGCCUUGGCACUAGAAGCCGAUGAAGGACGUUACUAACGACGAUAUGCUUUGGGGAGCUGUAAGUAAGCUUUGAUCCAGAGAUUUCCGAAUGGGGAAACCCAGCAUGAGUUAUGUCAUGUUAUCGAUAUGUGAAUACAUAGCAUAUCAGAAGGCACACCCGGAGAACUGAAACAUCUUAGUACCCGGAGGAAGAGAAAGAAAAUUCGAUUCCCUUAGUAGCGGCGAGCGAAACGGGAAGAGCCCAAACCAAAAAGCUUGCUUGUUGGGGUUGUAGGACACUCUAUACGGAGUUACAAAGGACGACAUUAGACGAAUCAUCUGGAAAGAUGAAUCAAAGAAGGUAAUAAUCCUGUAGUCGAAAAUGUUGUCUCUCUUGAGUGGAUCCUGAGUACGACGGAGCACGUGAAAUUCCGUCGGAAUCUGGGAGGACCAUCUCCUAAGGCUAAAUACUCUCUAGUGACCGAUAGUGAACCAGUACCGUGAGGGAAAGGUGAAAAGCACCCCGGAAGGGGAGUGAAAUAGAACCUGAAACCGUGUGCUUACAAGUAGUCAGAGCCCGUUAAUGGGUGAUGGCGUGCCUUUUGUAGAAUGAACCGGCGAGUUACGAUUUGAUGCAAGGUUAAGCAGUAAAUGUGGAGCCGUAGCGAAAGCGAGUCUGAAUAGGGCGUUUAGUAUUUGGUCGUAGACCCGAAACCAGGUGAUCUACCCUUGGUCAGGUUGAAGUUCAGGUAACACUGAAUGGAGGACCGAACCGACUUACGUUGAAAAGUGAGCGGAUGAACUGAGGGUAGCGGAGAAAUUCCAAUCGAACCUGGAGAUAGCUGGUUCUCUCCGAAAUAGCUUUAGGGCUAGCCUCAAGUGAUGAUUAUUGGAGGUAGAGCACUGUUUGGACGAGGGGCCCCUCUCGGGUUACCGAAUUCAGACAAACUCCGAAUGCCAAUUAAUUUAACUUGGGAGUCAGAACAUGGGUGAUAAGGUCCGUGUUCGAAAGGGAAACAGCCCAGACCACCAGCUAAGGUCCCAAAAUAUAUGUUAAGUGGAAAAGGAUGUGGCGUUGCCCAGACAACUAGGAUGUUGGCUUAGAAGCAGCCAUCAUUUAAAGAGUGCGUAAUAGCUCACUAGUCGAGUGACACUGCGCCGAAAAUGUACCGGGGCUAAACAUAUUACCGAAGCUGUGGAUUGUCCUUUGGACAAUGGUAGGAGAGCGUUCUAAGGGCGUUGAAGCAUGAUCGUAAGGACAUGUGGAGCGCUUAGAAGUGAGAAUGCCGGUGUGAGUAGCGAAAGACGGGUGAGAAUCCCGUCCACCGAUUGACUAAGGUUUCCAGAGGAAGGCUCGUCCGCUCUGGGUUAGUCGGGUCCUAAGCUGAGGCCGACAGGCGUAGGCGAUGGAUAACAGGUUGAUAUUCCUGUACCACCUAUAAUCGUUUUAAUCGAUGGGGGGACGCAGUAGGAUAGGCGAAGCGUGCGAUUGGAUUGCACGUCUAAGCAGUAAGGCUGAGUAUUAGGCAAAUCCGGUACUCGUUAAGGCUGAGCUGUGAUGGGGAGAAGACAUUGAGUCUUCGAGUCGUUGAUUUCACACUGCCGAGAAAAGCCUCUAGAUAGAAAAUAGGUGCCCGUACCGCAAACCGACACAGGUAGUCAAGAUGAGAAUUCUAAGGUGAGCGAGCGAACUCUCGUUAAGGAACUCGGCAAAAUGACCCCGUAACUUCGGGAGAAGGGGUGCUCUUUAGGGUUAACGCCCAGAAGAGCCGCAGUGAAUAGGCCCAAGCGACUGUUUAUCAAAAACACAGGUCUCUGCUAAACCGUAAGGUGAUGUAUAGGGGCUGACGCCUGCCCGGUGCUGGAAGGUUAAGAGGAGUGGUUAGCUUCUGCGAAGCUACGAAUCGAAGCCCCAGUAAACGGCGGCCGUAACUAUAACGGUCCUAAGGUAGCGAAAUUCCUUGUCGGGUAAGUUCCGACCCGCACGAAAGGCGUAACGAUUUGGGCACUGUCUCAACGAGAGACUCGGUGAAAUCAUAGUACCUGUGAAGAUGCAGGUUACCCGCGACAGGACGGAAAGACCCCGUGGAGCUUUACUGUAGCCUGAUAUUGAAAUUCGGCACAGCUUGUACAGGAUAGGUAGGAGCCUUUGAAACGUGAGCGCUAGCUUACGUGGAGGCGCUGGUGGGAUACUACCCUAGCUGUGUUGGCUUUCUAACCCGCACCACUUAUCGUGGUGGGAGACAGUGUCAAGCGGGCAGUUUGACUGGGGCGGUCGCCUCCUAAAAGGUAACGGAGGCGCUCAAAGGUUCCCUCAGAAUGGUUGGAAAUCAUUCAUAGAGUGUAAAGGCAUAAGGGAGCUUGACUGCGAGACCUACAAGUCGAGCAGGGUCGAAAGACGGACUUAGUGAUCCGGUGGUUCCGCAUGGAAGGGCCAUCGCUCAACGGAUAAAAGCUACCCCGGGGAUAACAGGCUUAUCUCCCCCAAGAGUUCACAUCGACGGGGAGGUUUGGCACCUCGAUGUCGGCUCAUCGCAUCCUGGGGCUGUAGUCGGUCCCAAGGGUUGGGCUGUUCGCCCAUUAAAGCGGUACGCGAGCUGGGUUCAGAACGUCGUGAGACAGUUCGGUCCCUAUCCGUCGUGGGCGUAGGAAAUUUGAGAGGAGCUGUCCUUAGUACGAGAGGACCGGGAUGGACAUACCUCUGGUGUACCAGUUGUCGUGCCAACGGCAUAGCUGGGUAGCUAUGUGUGGACGGGAUAAGUGCUGAAAGCAUCUAAGCAUGAAGCCCCCCUCAAGAUGAGAUUUCCCAACUUCGGUUAUAAGAUCCCUCAAAGAUGAUGAGGUUAAUAGGUUCGAGGUGGAAGCAUGGUGACAUGUGGAGCUGACGAAUACUAAUCGAUCGAAGACUUAAUC